UAGGCUGCAACUCGCCUACACGAAGUCGGAAUCGCUAGUAAUCGCGGAUCAGCAUGCCGCGGUGAAUACGUUCCCGGGCCUUGUACACACCGCCCGUCACACCAUGAGAGUUGGCAAUACCCAGCGUACGUGAUCUAACCCGCAAGGGAGGAAGCGUCCUAAGGUAGGGUCAGCGAUUGGGGUGAAGUCGUAACAAGGUAGC
rnacentral:rRNA from 1 species